rnacentral:snRNA from 1 species
GGAUGUGAGGGCGAUCUGGCUGCGACAUCUGUCACCCCAUUGAUCGCCAGGGUUGAUUCGGCUGAUCUGGCUGGCUAGGCAGGUGUCCCCUUCCUCCCUCACCGCUCCAUGUGCGUCCCUCCCGAAGCUGCGUGCUCGGUUGAAGAGGACGACCUUCCCCGAUAGAGGAGGACCGUUCUUCGGUCAAGGGUAUAUGAGUAGCUGCGCUCCCCUGCUAGAACCUCCAAACAAGCUCUCAAAAUGGGGUAGGGAAGGAAGAGCAUGAGAAGAAGAUUGCCACUACAU